UACGGAGGGUGCGAGCGUUGUCCGGAAUCACUGGGCGUAAAGGGCGCGUAGGCGGCCGUGUAAGUCACUUGUGAAAUCCCGGGGCUCAACUCCGGGGCUGCAGGUGAGACUGCGUGGCUAGAGCACGGUAGAGGCGAGUGGAAUUCCCGGUGUAGCGGUGGAAUGCGUAGAUAUCGGGAAGAACACCGGUGGCGAAGGCGCUCUGCUAGGCCGCAACUGACACUGAGGGACGAAAGCUAGGGGAGCGAAUGGG
rnacentral:rRNA from 1 species